UACAUGUGGGGCAAGCGUUGUUCGGAAUUACUGGGCAUAAAGGGUGCGUAGGUGGUCUGUUAAGUCAGUGGUGAAAUCCCGCGGCCCAACCGUGGAACUGCCAUCGAUACUGGCGAACUGGAGUGUGGCAGAGGGGGGUGGAAUUCCGCGUGUAGCAGUGAAAUGCGUAGAGAUGCGGAGGAACACCGAUGGCGAAGGCAGCCCCCUGGGCUAGCACUGACGCUCAGGCACGAAAGCGUGGGGAGCAAACAGG
rnacentral:rRNA from 1 species